rnacentral:rRNA from 1 species
AGGGGCAGCGGGGAAAAGCUUGCUUUUCCGCCGGCGACCGGCGCACGGGUGCGCACCGCGUAUGGAACCUGCCUUGUACAGGGGAAUAGCCCAGGGAAACUUGGAUUAAUGCCCCGUAGUACCGUAUUUCGGCAUCGUUAUACGGUUAAAGCCUUCGGGCGGUACAAGAUGGCCAUGNNNCCCCAUUAGCUUGUUGGUAAGGUAACGGCUUACCAAGGCUACGAUGGGUAGGGGCCCUGAGAGGGGGAUCCCCCACACUGGUACUGAGACACGGACCAGACUCCUACGGGAGGCAGCAGUGAGGAAUAUUGGACAAUGGAGGAGACUCUGAUCCAGCCAUGCCGCGUGCAGGAAGAAUGCCCUAUGGGUAGUAAACUGCUUUUAUACGGGAAGAAAAAGAGCUACGUGUAGCUUACUGACGGUACCGUAAGAAUAAGGACCGGCUAACUCCGUGCCAGCAGCCGCGGUAAUACGGAGGGUCCGAGCGUUAUCCGGAAUUAUUGGGUUUAAAGGGUCCGUAGGCGGGCCGAUAAGUCAGGGGUGAAAGUCUGCCGCUCAACGGUAGAACUGCCUUUGAUACUGUCGGUCUUGAGUUAUAGUGAAGUUGCCGGAAUAUGUNNUGUAGCGGUGAAAUGCAUAGAUAUUACAUAGAACACCGAUUGCGAAGGCAGGUGACUAACUAUAUACUGACGCUGAUGGACGAAAGCGUGGGGAGCGAACAGGAUUAGAUACCCUGGUAGUCCACGCCGUAAACGAUGGAUAC